rnacentral:rRNA from 1 species
UACGUAGGGUGCAAGCGUUGUCCGGAAUUAUUGGGCGUAAAGAGCUCGUAGGCGGUUUGUCGCGUCUGCUGUGAAAUCCCGAGGCUCAACCUCGGGCCUGCAGUGGGUACGGGCAGACUAGAGUGCGGUAGGGGAGAUUGGAACUCCUGGUGUAGCGGUGGAAUGCGCAGAUAUCAGGAGGAACACCGGUGGCGAAGGCGGGUCUCUGGGCAGUAACUGACGCUGAGGAGCGAAAGCGUGGGGAGCGAACAGG